GCACAGUGUGUCACCAGAGAGGAACAGAAUAUCCUUGCUGUGCCAAGAAAGAAAAGACCAUGGAUCUACUAGUUGCAGAUUUCAGCAGUAAUGCCAAGGGGGCAAGAAGUGACCAGCAGAACAAUUAGGCCGUGGCAGCAGAAGCCAACUACAACCCAUGUUCCAAUCUAUGACCUCCCUCUCCUGCUGGUACAAGGAUAUGUAUUCCUUAGAGCAAAGGAUGCAAUGUCAAGCAAGUUGUGAUACCUCAACUAUCUACAAUUUAACACCAAGGAAAGAACACUGUUUGGAGAAAUGAGAAAGAUUAUCAUCAGUGUCUUUCAGAAGUCAUCAAAGGAAGAAAAGGAGAAAAGAGAGGAGAAAGCAGAAAGGAAGAACCAGCUCAGGGCAGAGUGCGCUGGGGCAGCAAAUGUCAGAGGAUGCAGAAAGAAGUCAAGUGUAUCACUCCUUGGAAUCUAUUGAUCUGGAGUCUGGGAAGUUCAAGAGCAUGGCACCAACAUCUGGCAAGGGCUUUCAUGCUGCAUCAUCUCAUGGAGGAAAAUAAAAGGGCAAGUGAGUGUGAGAGAGCAAGAGAGCAAGAAAAGGAAAGGGGAUCAAACUCACCCUUUUAUCACGAAAACACUCUAUCGAUAACAGCAUUGAUCCAUUCAUGAGGGAAGACCCCUCAUGACCUAGUCACCUCUUAAAGGUCCAACCUUUCAACACUGGUUGCAUUGGGGAUUAAGUUUCAACACAUGCUUUUUGGGUGGCAUAAUUAAACCAUAACACACUUGUUAUUAGGUCAGGAGAUUUCCCAAGGUCAGAACAGUGACAGAGCUAAGCCCUGAACUUUUGUUACCUUCAAACCAGGAUUGUUUCCACAAUUUGUCAUACAUGGAUAUUUAGAACAUACUUUAGAAGUGGAGGAAAGAAUAAAAUAAUUUGAAGAUGGAGUACCCAAAAGCUGUG
rnacentral:lncRNA from 1 species